CAAAGAAAUAUAGAUUUCUCCAUUGUUUUCAUUAAAUUUCUCAUCAAAAUGCUGUUUACACUUUUUAUGCAUGUUACUUUUCAAUAGUUCUGAAAAUCCUUGCUAGAAACGCAGGAUCUGAGACUUCGUUGCUAUAAGCUGAGGAACUUCCCAUCACCAGAAUAUGUACAGUCGUAAUUUGUGUUUGCUGAGUAAUUCAUAGAAUUGAGCUUAAAUUUGCACGUUUUUUUACUUUUUUUUAUUAAUUUAUGUAAUUAAUUGAUGUGAAAAUUAGCAACUUGUCUAAAUCAUUGAGUGCUUAUAUUAUUCAAUACCUAGGCUUAAUUUUGUGUGAUUCAAUAGGCUUUUUUUCCGUAUCAUGCUGUUUAACUUCGCUUGGGUACGUGUUAGAUCGAUUGAGAAGGGUGCUGGUCCUGAUUUGCUGGUAUAUAUUCGAGAAAUCAGCUUCUGCGAACAAAUAGCUUCUAACUGUUUCAGCUGUACAGGCCGUCAUCCUGCAGCCACUGGGUAACAAGGGAAUUGCAGUUAUAUGAGGUGAUACAAUAAGGGGGUUUUCCACUGCUGACCAGGGUAGUUAAGGACGACCAGCCUGUAUCAUACCGGACAGCCACAGCAAAGCCUGUAUACCAAUGGAUAAUCAAGCCUCAGAGUGUCGCCAAAACUAAUGAGAUGUUUCUUCCUGGGCGAAUGUCAUUUAUUUAUGACAUGGUUGGAUGCAAAGCUCUUUGUGUUGACUGGUAGAUUGAUUAAUUCUUGAAUGAGCCCUAUGAAAGCGUGAUCCAAUGUAACAACUUUGACGGAUCCGAAACAUGAUAUUGUUUCAUGGAGCACAAUUAUCACAGGAUAUGGAAGUCAUGGAAAAGGGGAGAUAGAUGGCUUUAAAGCUGUAUUCGGAUUUUCUAAUUUCAUGGAAUCAACCAAAUCGUGUCAUUUUCCUUUCUGUUCUCUUCUCUUGUAGCCACAAUGGGAUGGUUUCUGAAGGUCUGAGCUUAUUCAAUUCUAUGACUCGGGAUUUUGGAAUUAAACCAGAACUUGAGCAUCGAGCUUGCAUCGUUGAUCUGCUCUGUCGAGCUGGAAAGAUUGGGGAGGCAUAUGAAUUCAUUUGGAAAAUGUUCUUUAACCCUACAACUGAUGUUUUGGGCAUACUUCUCGAUGCAUGUCGGAUGAAGGGUGAUGCUAAACUUGGAGAAAUUGUUGCAAGAGAUAUGAUGAUGCUGAAACCUGCAUGUGCUGGAAAUUAUGUACAACUAGCUCAUAGUUUUGCUGCUAUGAAUAGAUGGGAGGGGGUGAAUGAUGCAUGGACUCAAAUGAAGGCUCUUGGACUUAAAAAACUCCCAGGUUGGAGUCUGAGUUAAUUUGGUGACAGCAGUCUGAGUCAUUCAGUCAUCCUGAAGAUUCAUCUUCCAGCUGCUGUCUGGUACUGCAGACCUGUGUGCCAAUUACCAAGGUCUGGGGUAAAUUUCCCAAUCAAAGUAACAAUAAUUGAACAUAUAGUUGGUUAACUUGUGCAAAUAUAUAGGGAAGAUUUUAUUGUAGAAGUGAUUCUUUGACAGUAAAUCGGUUCACAUUAGAGAUGGGAAAUCGAUGCAGGUGUGAUUGUAUAGCUUCUACGGGUGAUUCUUUCAUCCGUAAUUUCUUCUACAGAUCAACCAUUUCUGCAGGUGUAUGUUCGAGUGUCACAAGUACGUAACUGGGAGGAAAGUCAUGCAGGAGACAAUUGUGAAAUGAUCUUCAUGUGAUGUAAGUAUCCAUCAUUCCAUCAUGAUCCUGUAAGUUAGUGAUUAAUAGAGUAUAUAUUCAAGUAAUUAUCCUUGUUUCUUGCGAGUAGUUAUAUAGCAUCAGAAUUCUGUCAUCUUGAAAGUAAUUUCUGGUAGUGAAAAUAUUUGCACAGCUACAAGUAUAAUAAGUUUGCAAACAUAUUUAGGCUAAACUUUCGACUGCCAGAUUAAUUAUAGAUAUAUUUAGGCUAAACUUUCGACUGCCAGAUUAAUUAUAGAUUUAUUUCAAGUGAAAUCAUGGCAGUUAUCAGAUUAGCUUAAGUUAUUGUUCUUGGUUAUUUUUACCUCAAUAAAAUACCUCAAAGCAUCAACUAAGUCGCUAUACAACCUGACAAUCUUUGCAAAGCUUAACAGUUUUGGUAAUAAUUAGGCUUUGACCAUGACAGUGGGAGGAAUGCUGAAUGAAGCUAUUAAUAAUUUUAAAUGACACUAAAUAUGGCUUAAUAGAGCUUUCAAAUGACACUAAAUAUGGCUUAACCAUGGUCAUUAAAAUUCCACCUAAAAAGGAUUAGGCUCCAAAUUCGAUCGUGAGCUCAGACGACAACAAAGUACCAAAUUACCAUCAUAAUGUGUAAGCCAAUUCUAGCAUUGAAUUUUAAAAUAGAGAGCUAGGCCACUGGUAAACUCUUGAGCACCUGUCUUUUGGUUGUGUCUACGGCAAGGCUGCUUUAGACCAGAUUAAGCAGUGGCUGGGGAUAAGAACUUCAAAAAUUGAUCUGUUAUACCUGCUGAAAUGGCUACAGAAGGACUACAAAGGCUCUAGAUUCCAGAAAAGGGUGCAGUAAACUGCUGUUCCUGCUUUAGUAAUACCAAUAUGGAGAGUUAGAAGUGAUGCAAUUUGGAAUUUUAAAGUUAUACAUACUGAUUCUUUUGUAAAAGUUGUAAAGGAUACCAUAAAGAGCAGGAUAGGAAGAAUCAUAGGGAACUAAGUGUAAAUAUCACAGAUCUCUAGCUGCGAUAUCUAGACUUUUCUUUUUUUUAAUAAUGUUCAUGUAUGAUUGAAUUCGCUGAACUAUAAUUUAUCUCAUUAUUCAAAGAUCGUAGAUUGAAUAAGUGUUUGCUUGAUCUACCUUGAAAAAUAUAAUUUGAGUGAUUCAAAUGAUAUUGUUAAUUUUCCUUUGAUUUUAAAAUGUGUUCAUCA